rnacentral:rRNA from 1 species
AGUGAACGCUGGCGGUAGGCCUAACACAUGCAAGUCGAACGGCAGCACAGUAAGAGCUUGCUCUUACGGGUGGCGAGUGGCGGACGGGUGAGGUAUACAUCGGAAUCUACUUUUUCGUGGGGGAUAACGUAGGGAAACUUACGCUAAUACCGCAUACGACCUACGGGUGAAAGCAGGGGAUCUUCGGACCUUGCGCGAUUGACUGAGCCGAUGUCGGAUUAGCUAGUUGGCGGGGUAAAGGCCCACCAAGGCGACGAUCCGUAGCUGGUCUGAGAGGAUGAUCAGCCACACUGGAACUGAGACACGGUCCAGACUCCUACGGGAGGCAGCAGUGGGGAAUAUUGGACAAUGGGCGCAAGCCUGAUCCAGCCAUACCGCGUGGGUGAAGAAGGCCUUCGGGUUGUAAAGCCCUUUUGUUGGGAAAGAAAAGCAGCAGGUUAAUACCCCGCUGUUCUGACGGUACCCAAAGAAUAAGCACCGGCUAACUUCGUG